GUGGUUAUAGCUCAGUUGGUUAGAGCGCUAGAUUGUGGUUCUAGAGGUCGUGGGUUCGAGCCCCAUUAGCCACC
rnacentral:tRNA from 1 species